UACAGCGGGGGCAAGCGUUGUUCGGAAUUACUGGGCGUAAAGGGCGCGUAGGCGGCCUUCUAAGUCGAACGUGAAAUCCCUGGGCUCAACCCAGGAACUGCGUCCGAUACUGGAAGGCUUGAAUCCGGGAGAGGGAUGCGGAAUUCCAGGUGUAGCGGUGAAAUGCGUAGAUAUCUGGAGGAACACCGGUGGCGAAGGCGGCAUCCUGGACCGGUAUUGACGCUGAGGCGCGAAAGCCAGGGGAGCAAACGGG
rnacentral:rRNA from 1 species